UACGUAGGUGGCGAGCGUUGUCCGGAAUUACUGGGUGUAAAGGGAGCGCAGGCGGGAAGCCAAGUUGGAUGUGAAAUACCCGGGCUCAACUCGGGGGCUGCAUCCAAAACUGGUUUUCUUGAGUGAAGUAGAGGUAGGCGGAAUUCCUAGUGUAGCGGUGAAAUGCGUAGAUAUUAGGAGGAACACCAGUGGCGAAGGCGGCCUACUGGGCUUUAACUGACGCUGAGGCUCGAAAGCGUGGGGAGCAAACGGG
rnacentral:rRNA from 1 species